UCUGUGUGCUUUUUUUUAAAAAUGUAUGCAGAUUCAUACCUCGUAGCUCCGUAGUAACUGUACAUGCGAUCAUGUGAUCCAUGGUCCGGCCCGCCUCUCUCUUCCUCUGUCCUCUCACAUCCCUCGUCUCAAAGUCUCUUCUGAUCUCAGCCCCGCCUGCCUCUCUUGUGAUCUGUUACUUUAGCUAUAGACGAUGGGCGGGGCUGAGAACGGACAUCAGGGGAGAUGAGAGGCAGGUCCGAGCAUGGAGUCACAUGAGGGGAAAGUAAUAUACACACGGAGACAUGAGGCAGAUUUUGACAA